rnacentral:piRNA from 1 species
UGGUCAAGUCUUCAGAGCCUCACUCUGUC